AGUGAACGCUGGCGGUAGGCCUAACACAUGCAAGUCGAACGGCAGCACAGUAAGAGCUUGCUCUUACGGGUGGCGAGUGGCGGACGGGUGAGGAAUACAUCGGAAUCUACUUUUUCGUGGGGGAUAACGUAGGGAAACUUACGCUAAUACCGCAUACGACCUACGGUUGCAAGCAGGGGAUCUUCGGACCUUGCGCGAUUGAAUGAGCCGAUGUCGGAUUAGCUAGUUGGCGGGGUAAAGGCCCACCAAGGCGACGAUCCGUAGCUGGUCUGAGAGGAUGAUCAGCCACACUGGAACUGAGACACGGUCCAGACUCCUACGGGAGGCAGCAGUGGGGAAUAUUGGACAAUGGGCGCAAGCCUGAUCCAGCCAUACCGCGUGGGUGAAGAAGGCCUUCGGGUUGUAAAGCCCUUUUGUUGGGAAAGAAAAGCAGCAGGUUAAUACCCCGCUGUUCUGACGGUACCCAAAGAAUAAGCACCGGCUAACUUCGUG
rnacentral:rRNA from 1 species